rnacentral:rRNA from 1 species
UCUGCCCGCUGGCGGCGUGCCUAAUACAUGCAAGUCGAGCGAACGGACGAGAAGCUUGCUUCUCUGAUGUUAGCGGCGGACGGGUGAGUAACACGUGGAUAACCUACCUAUAAGACUGGGAUAACUUCGGGAAACCGGAGCUAAUACCGGAUAAUAUUUUGAACCGCAUGGUUCAAAAGUGAAAGACGGUCUUGCUGUCACUUAUAGAUGGAUCCGCGCUGCAUUAGCUAGUUGGUAAGGUAACGGCUUACCAAGGCAACGAUGCAUAGCCGACCUGAGAGGGUGAUCGGCCACACUGGAACUGAGACACGGUCCAGACUCCUACGGGAGGCAGCAGUAGGGAAUCUUCCGCAAUGGGCGAAAGCCUGACGGAGCAACGCCGCGUGAGUGAUGAAGGUCUUCGGAUCGUAAAACUCUGUUAUUAGGGAAGAACAUAUGUGUAAGUAACUGUGCACAUCUUGACGGUACCUAAUCAGAAAGCCACGGCUAACUACGUG